rnacentral:tRNA from 2 species
GCACCCGUAGCUCAACUGGAUAGAGUACCUGACUACGAAUCAGGCGGUUCCAAGUUCGAAUCUUGGCGGGUGUA